UGUCCCAGUUGAAGACUCUCUCGGCCGGACCUGCCGUGCGAUUCUGUAAGCGUUGUUUAACAAACUCGCACGUGAAUUUGGUGUGAGUUUUCAAAUUGGCAUUCUGUAAAUUUCAUUGUAGUGCCAAAUCUACACUAGCGCCCCUCGCGGGUGAAUUGAACUAGCAAGCGUGAGUUUUUUUUACUAAAAUGUAUGAGUUGACGUUUGAAACGGCAUUCUGUAGUGUAAAUCACUUCGAAUUUCGGCAAGAACUUCGCAUCGCAAAAUCAUUUUAUUUGUCAAAUCAAAAGUUAGUGUUUUAAGUGUUUGUUGUGAGUGAGAAUAUACGAAGACGUUAUAAACCGCUGUUAAUUAUUAAAAAAAUACUAUUAAUUAACAAAAUUGCACUUUAAAAUAACUUUAUUCUUCAUCGAUACUUUGUGGAGCGUAUGUUUUUAUUGAAAACAUUGUUGAAAGAGGCUGACGCUACGGAUCAGCGUGAAAUGCGUCGACAAGCCUACGAAAUUCACAAUUUAUCACUUUUAACUUGAGAUGACGACCAUGUAAAAGUAUAAAGAAAGUGUAUAGAUUGUCGAAGGAUCAUAUGAACCAGUUAGGGUGUGAAUUACACCCUUUGAUGAAGACCACUAAAAGCCAUUGAAAAGGACUUUCAACUCUUCUAAAGUUUCAGUUAUUGUGCACCUUGUUAUUUUUGGCCAAUUGAAGUUACCAAAAAAAUCAUAAAAGAAAAUAUAAGAACAUAUUUGUCCCAGACAUCCCAGUGUAUAUCUGAGGUUGUGGAGGCUCUGAACAACCCAGCAACUAUAUAUAAAUAUUUAAGAUUCCCACAGAAUGCUCAAGAAUGGCAAAAGUUGAAGGAAAAGCAAAGAAAAAAGAAGGUGGUUUAAGCUAAAUAGGAACAGAUGGCGGUGCACUAUAAAAAACAAACCGUUUCAAGGCCAUGACCACGACGCUCAGUAAUGAGGAAACUGAUGCAAGGAGGAGGAGAGGUUUAAGCUAAAUAAAAAAAUGUUUUCUUCAUAAAAAAUUACCAAUAUUAAUGCAAUGCUAAAUAUUGCAGUUUUUAUGAAAAAUUUAGAAUCCUUUGGGUUAUUGGGUGUAUUGAUGGGAAGUUGGUGGCCUUAAAAAUAUCUGCUACCAAUAAAAAAUGGUUUUACUGUCGCAAAGAAUAUCAUGCAAGAAAUGUACAAUUUGUAAAGCUAUUAAUAUUUUUCGAAAUUCUGAUAUGUAAUCCAUAAACGAAAUGUGUAUUAAGAACCUAUGUAAUCAGAUUGUAUUCAUUUCAGUUAAAUUGUAAUUGUGUAUAUUGCUAUAAGUUAUUGUGAAAUAUAGUAUUUAUCUUAAAUAAACUUUAUUCAGUUAUAAUCAAAACAAAAUAAAAUCUACUAGAUUAGUCAAUGACAGCAAGUAAUGACCAUUAUAAUUAUUUAACAUCUUUUCGGGCUUUCUGUAUAUUGUCAACGUUCCAACCUUAUGACACCUUUUGCUAUUUAUUUUUUUAUUGCUUAGAUCGGUGGAUGAGUUCCCAGCCCACCUGGUGUUAAAUGGUUACUGGAGCCCAUAGACAUCUACAACGUAAAUGCGCCACCCACCUUGAGAUAUAAAUUCUAAGGUCUCAGUAUAGUUACAACAGCUGCCCCACCCUUCAAACCGAAACGCAUUACUGCUUCACGGCAGAAAUAGGCGAUAAAGCUAUGCUAUGCUAGCAAUACCUGCUAAUAAUAGCUAGCUAUUGCUAAUAUGGAGGAAGAUACUCCUGAAGCUUUGUAGCACCACCUCAUUCCACUGCCCGUAACUCAGUGUAAAGAACAAUAGGUAUGUUAAAGAGUAGAUUCAGGUGUUUGCUGAUCUAUAGGGUGCCAAUUUACCACCCUGAUAAGAUAGUAAAAAUAGUUGUUGCGUGUUGUGUGUUGCACAACAUUUGCAAUUGUGCAGAGCUGCCAGUUCCCAUGAUUUGAAAUGAUGAGAUUACAUGUACAUUAUGGUGGUCAUGUUGAAUUACUUUGUUAAAUUUUACUAAUUACCUAACUUAUAGUGUGAAGUAACUUCAAAUAUAAAUUAAUGAUUUAUAAAAAUAGUUUUAUUCAAUAGUUAUAUACAAUAAUUUUGAAAUUUGUUUGCAUCAGUAACUUAUGUGGAAUCCAGGUUUAAAAUUGCUAGCUGCAUAUGCUAAUUCCACCAACAGUUCAUCCUUCUUGCAGAUUGUCGACUAUUCAUUCCCCCAUGGUUGUAAGUUUCAUUAAGUUAUAUAUGGUACUGUGUUCAAAAAUGCUUUGGACAACACACAUAUGAACACCCUGAAUCUUCACCUGCAGUUCCUCUAUCCACAAAAUUCUCUCAGUAAUUUGAGUACACUCUGCUUUUCAUUGUAAAAGUGGUGACAUAGCAGGUCAGGUGUUGAGGUGCUGAAAAAAAAAAAAAAAAUUAUUUAAAAACAAGGUUAGGUAAAAUACAAUGUUUACAAUACAUGCAACAAAAUGUUUUUAUUUACAAGUAUAAUAACCGGCAAACUUCUUGAGCAUUUGUUGACGUAGUGGGGGUAAGUUUGCGCAUGGUACACUCACGUGCAAAAACAUUACUUACUCUGCGUCAUAAUGCUAUUAAAUUAUUAAAAUCAACAUAUGUAUUUAUUUAUAUAUUUAUUAGAACAUCAACAAAACAUAUAGGUUAAUAAUUGUAAUAAUUUAAUCUUGGGGUAAAAUAGAUAUUCCUUCUAUUAAGUCAAAACUAGAGCUGUUGCCAGGUCUUGGUUCAGUUAAAGCG